AAAUGUUUCAUUGUUUUAAUCAAUAAAACAUAACUUGUUGAAUAAAAACAGUCAGCCAUUUACUUUUGACAGAUAAUUGAUUUAUUUUAACAUGUGUAAAAAAUCAAGUUUAGAGUUUAUACUCGUGAAUCAACUGCAAUCGCAAAGUCGAAGAGUUCCUUCUGCCGUGCUCACCACAAUGGUCGACAAAGUUAGAAACGUUUGACACCAGUGCGCCAGACCUGGCUACAUUAAAAUGUGGUACAGUUUCCAGGAUAGGUAAUACAAGUGCAAAACGAAUUGAAAAUUGAAAUAAUCAUGCAGAAAAAUUUUAGUAUUUUGCUUGCGUUAGGAGAAAUUGUAAUUUCAUCAGGAUGAAAAAACUUGUAUUUUGUUAAAUUUUAUAUUAUAAGAUAAUUUUUCAUGAUUUAGCGUUGCGCAAUCGCCAAUUAUUGAACACUUUGGAAGCUGGGAGAUCACUCAAGCUGGGAGAUCACUCAGGCUGGGAGAUCACUCAAGCUCUAGAGUUUACACUUCUUCGUGCUCUCCCAACUUCCCGCGUGCUCAAUAACUCGAGGAGGCGAAUAUCGUAAUAGCAAUAGAUACAAACGAAUUAUUUUGAAAACAUCCCGUUGGAAGUAUAUGAACAUUUAGUUUUAGCUAUAUAGUUUUAUUAUAUGUUUCAUUGCAUGUAUUCAUCAACCAAUUACAAUUACAAUUACAAUAGACAACUUGCAUGUUAGACUAAUUUUUGAUCUAGCCAAAAAAAAGUAAAUUCCCGUAAAGAACUUAUUAAAAUUAGUAAAAUUGCAAAAUUUGGUUACGAAAUGUUGUAAAGCUUGGAAAAUAUGGUCUUGCAGUUUUACUAAUUUCAUUAUGUUCUUUUUAGCUGUGGUAUUUGAUUCCCUUGUCUUUACUUAGAUUAAAAUUUAGUCUAACAUGCAAGUUGUCCGUUACAAUUACAAUUGCAAUUACAAAUACCAAUUAAUUUUAUUUUAGAUCAAAAUUAAUGAUGAAAUGUUGGCAUGAAGAUAAAGAUUCUAGACCAACAUUCAAAGAAUUGGUUGAAAUAUUAGACAAAAUUAUUGAACUUCAUACUUCUUCUGAGGUAAUCAAAAUUUUAUCAAAACAUUAUUCCCUGGCCAGGUCAUUUACCUACACUGAGAUUUAGCUGGAAUGUAGAAAUGAAACAGUACUUACAUAAAAAGUUGGAUAUAUAGAUUCUUAUAGUAACAAUCUUGCAUGAAUUGCUUUCAAUUUUCAAAAUCCCAGCUAAUCGUAUUUGCUUACAGUAGACACAGUAUAUUUAUAAGUUUCUCGGGAAAAUAUUCACAUCAUUUCAUUCGCCAUGUUACAAUUCCUGUCUGGUAAUACAGUGUGUAAUAUUAAGAGAUAAAAACACGAAAAAACUCGAUAUAGCUCUAUACCAACAUCCCAAUACUUAAUAAAGGAA
rnacentral:lncRNA from 1 species